rnacentral:rRNA from 1 species
AUGAGGAUCAUAAAAGAAUGCACUGGUUCACCUAGUGGAAGAUGUGUUAUUCAAAAAGUGAAGGGGGUGGGGUUUAGAGAUCUUUAUUCCUUCAAUUUGGCUAUGCUUGCAAAGCAAUGUUGGAGACUCAUUACCAAUCCAGAUUCCCUAUGUGCACAAGUGUUGAAGGCGAAAUAUUACCCCAAUGCUAGCUUAGUACAAGCUACAUUAAAAAAUGGAGCAUCUUUUACAUGGCAAAGCAUCAUGAAGGGGCUUGAGACGUUCAAACUAGGAUAUAUUUGGAGGAUUGGUGCAGGGGAGAAUGUUAACAUAUGGAGGGAUCCUGGGAUACCAGCUAGCCCGGAUAGGAGGGUAAUCUCAAACCAUGGACAAUCGAUUCUAUCGGUGGUAAGUGAUCUCAUUGACCCUAGCACGGGCACAUGGGAUGAACCCUAA